UGUCCUGCAGGUUCACCUGGAUUGGGGCAAGCUACAAAGUCCUCUGCAAAGAUAGCAAGAGAAGCCUCCAGGCAUCCUGUUUAUCUAUGGAGGGGUGACUUCCCUGGUGGGAUUUUGCUUGAACAGAGCAGCACCAGGAGGAGAUCAGGUAGACCUUUCCUUAAACACCUUGGAGCAAACCCACAUGCUGAUGCUGGCCCCUACCUGGUCCUCCUCAGGAGUAGGGGGAAGAGGCUUCUUCGUUUUGCGAUGUGACCGCCCAACUUUUAAACCUUCAGAAGAAAAAAGGGACUAAGGCUAGAGGGACAACUGGAUGUGCACCACCGCAGCGCAGUGCUGGCCCACAGCAGCUCCGUAGGGUGCAGAGCCCCUUCUCUGGUGGGGCAGAAUGACAGCAUCUCGGCAGCAAAAGGCCAGCGUUUGCUCUCCCCUUUUCCCUGUGGAUUUUACACUGGCUUCAGCCACCACAGCAAUCCCCCUCCCGUAGCAAAGAGGCAGAGAUGGACGCUGGUAUCCUGCUGCUCAGCUGCUGGCAUCUUCCCUGGGACCCACAGCCUUUGGCAUCCCCCUGCUCCCCCUGCCCUGCAUCAUGCUGGAC